rfam:Neotoma lepida isolate 417 scaffold_5082, whole genome shotgun sequence.
GGUAUCAUGGCUGAGCAAUCUAAGGUGCUGGAUUAAGGCUCCAGUCUCUUUAGGGGCGUGGGUUCGAAUCCCACCACUGCCA